AUUGAACGCUGGCGGCAGGCCUAACACAUGCAAGUCGAGCGAGCGGCGGACGGGUGAGUAAUGCCCGGGAAACUGCCUGAUGGAGGGGGAUAACUACUGGAAACGGUAGCUAAUACCGCAUACCAUCAGAUGUGCCCAGAUGGGAUUGGCUAGGAGGUGGGGUAAGGGCUCACCUAGGCGACGAUCCCUAGCUGGUCUGAGAGGAUGACAACCACCGCUGGACCUGGGACACGGUCCGGACUCCUACGGGAGGCGGCGGUGGGGAAUAUUGGACAUUGGGGGCAAGCCUGAUGCGGCCAUGCCGCGUGUGUGUAGAAGGCCUUCGGGUUUUAAAGCACUUUCAGCGGGGAGGCGUUACCCGCAGAAGAAGCACCGGCUAACUCCGUGCCAGCAGCCGCGGUAAUAC
rnacentral:rRNA from 1 species